UUGAAGAAUUUGAAGACUUUAACUUGCAUACUUAAAGUAUUUGAAGACUUCUUACAUACUUGAAGAAUUUGAAGACUUCAACU
rnacentral:pre_miRNA from 1 species